CGCGGGGUAGGCAGUUUGGUAGCUCGCAAGGCUCUAACUUGGGUACGGGUCAAUCUGCUCCGCAAAAUUUGAUU
rnacentral:tRNA from 1 species